rfam:Coccidioides immitis H538.4 cont1.4168, whole genome shotgun sequence.
AACUUUCAACAACGGAUCUCUUGGUUCCGGCAUCGAUGAAGAACGCAGCGAAAUGCGAUAAGUAAUGUGAAUUGCAGAAUUCCGUGAAUCAUCGAAUCUUUGAACGCACAUUGCGCCCUCUGGUAUUCCGGGGGGCAUGCCUGUUCGAGCGUCA